rnacentral:rRNA from 1 species
CAGCAGCCGCGGGAAUACGUAGGUGGCAAGCGUUGUUCGGAAUUAUUGGGCGUAAAGGGCUCGCAGGCGGUUUCUUAAGUCUGAUGUGAAAGCCCCCGGCUCAACCGGGGAGGGUCAUUGGAAACUGGGAAACUUGAGUGCAGAAGAGGAGAGUGGAAUUCCACGUGUAGCGGUGAAAUGCGUAGAGAUGUGGAGGAACACCAGUGGCGAAGGCGACUCUCUGGUCUGUAACUGACGCUGAGGAGCGAAAGCGUGGGGAGCGAACAGGAUUAGAUACCCCCGUAGUCCCUGUCUCUUAUAC